AUGGAGUCGCGGGUGAAGCCCGGGUUCAGCGGCGCGGGCAGCCUGUCCGGCAGCCGGAGGAGCUACAUGGGGGCGGCGGCGCCUAGCAAGCCGGCGGUGGACGGGUGCGGCGUGGCACUGCGCGUGUUCAUCCUGGCGGCGACGCUGGUCGCCGCCGUGGUGAUGGGCCUGGACCGGCAGACGGCCACCGUGCAGGUCACCAUCGCCGACACGCUGCCGCCGCUGCAGGUCCCCGUCACGGCCAAGUGGUCCUACUCCUCCGCCUUCGUGUACUUCGUGGUGGCGAACGCGAUGGCGUGCGUCUUCUCGGCGGUGGCGCUGGCGGCGUGCCGCAGCCGGAGCGCGGUGGUGCCGCUGAUGGUCGGCGACCUGGUGGUGCAGGCGCUCCUGUUCUCGGCGGUGGGCGCGUCGGCGGAGUUCGGCAUCCUGGGCGAGCGCGGCAACUCCCACGUGCGCUGGGGCAAGGUGUGCCACGUCUACAGCAGCUUUUGCGAGCGCGCCAUGGCCGCCGUCAUCGUCUCCCUCAUCGCCGCCUUCGCCAACCUCGUGCACCUCAUGUUCGCCAUCCUAGACGUCCACAAAAACUCCUCCUACUAG
rnacentral:rRNA from 1 species